GACGAACGCUGGCGGCGUGCUUAACACAUGCAAGUCGAACGGAAAGGCCCUGCUUGCAGGGUACUCGAGUGGCGAACGGGUGAGUAACACGUGGGUGAUCUGCCCUGCACUUCGGGAUAAGCCUGGGAAACUGGGUCUAAUACCGGAUAGGAGCCAUUUUUAGUGUGAUGGUUGGAAAGUUUUUUCGGUGUAGGAUGAGCUCGCGGCCUAUCAGCUUGUUGGUGGGGUAAUGGCCUACCAAGGCGGCGACGGGUAGCCGGCCUGAGAGGGUGGACGGCCACAUUGGGACUGAGAGACGGCCCAGACUCCUACGGGAGGAAGCAGGGGGGAAUAUUGCACAAUGGGCGCAAGCCUGAUGCAGCGACGCCGCGGGGGGGAUGACGGCCUUCGGGUUGUAAACUCCGUUCGCUAGGGACGAAGCUUUUUGUGACGGUACCUAGAUAAGAAGCACCGGCUAACUACGUG
rnacentral:rRNA from 1 species